CGACCGACAGCGAGGAAGACGAGGGCGAGGUUCCCGCAGGAGGAAUCGCUGGGAGAAUCUGGCCACCAGCGGCCCCAUCAAACCUCACGAUGUGUGGGAGGGUGAGACGGGAGCAGCAGACGAGCGUCUGAAGAUGGAGACACUGUCCAAACCAGAGCACAGAGCAGAGGAUCAUGGGACGGAAAACCUGCUGCUGCUGCUGCCCAGUUUACCAAACUCUACAGCGCAGCUGCACAAAGGAAUCCUGAAGAAGAAGCAGCUGUCGCCAAUCGCCGAGAGGAACGCCAUCAACCGCAUCCACAACCAGCUGUCUGGAGACUCCCCCUCCUCACGCGGCCCCUCCUCCAGCGAGGGCCGAGGGGGCGGGGCUAGGCGGGGUCAUCUGAACGGGGCGUCGGCAAGCGGACUGAUGAAAAUGCUCGACAACGACCUCGUCUGAAUCUGAAUGCUGAUGAGUGACGAGGGAAUGAAGAGGCAAAGAACAAUCGUCCUGUUUCUGUCCCUCCGUUUGAUUUUUCCCACAUUUCACGCGACAGUCGAUCUGAUUCUCCGCGCCAAACGCUGGCGAGAAUCGGACGUUUUUUACAUUUUUGUUUACAUACUUGAAGCGAAGCACUUUUUUAUUUCUUUCGUCCUCUUGCCGCAUCGAAACCAACACAGACAUUUUGUAAAUGAGUGAAGAAGUAUCAGGGAACUUCCUCCAUGAAGCUGAACUACUGCUGCUGCUGUACGAGCGAUAACUAAAGGAAGGAAUCACCGGACGAACCGCGAGAAGGAACCGACUCCUGAUUCAAGCCUUUCACUCGUGUUCACGAUGCCUUCUCCACCAGAAGGGCCUUUAUUUCGUACCGUUGGAGGAGAGCAACACUUUUGAUACUCGCUUUUUUGUAAAUUUUUGGGGACAUUUUUAUACGAACUUUUAAAAAGACUGACGUUUUAUAGAUUAGCAAUGAUGUAAAUGUGAAUUUAAACCUGUGUUGUACAGAUCUCUAACACGUCACGCAAAAACCACACUAACCCAUGUUUCAUCUGGAUCACAUCUGCAUGGUUUAUUACGCUUCACUGCGUAGUUUUAUCACACGAUGUGCUGCUUCAGUCUUCUGAGACUCUCCAGACGGGUCAUUUUUGGACUUUUGAUAACAAAUCAUGCUGUACAGUUUUAUACAUACGGUUCUUCGCUCUGUGCUUUAUUAUGGAAGCGUGUUUAAGCCAUGGGAUAAAACAUUUAAAAUUGGCAACUUUUUAUCCUACAAUUCAGACUUUUUUUCCCCUCAGAGAUAUAAACACGCAUUUAAAAUUCCGAGAUGUUAACUUGAAAUUUUGAGAUUCCUGAUUACAUUUUAAAAAUUUAUUCCAUAUCGGAAACAAAAAAAAAACACAAUUGCAAAAUAUAAAAGAAUUCUUAGAUAAAAAAAAUUCUGAGAUUGCAAUUUGGAAAAAAUUGCAGUUAUAUUUGAUAUUUUUUAUACUUUUGCA